rnacentral:rRNA from 1 species
UAGUCCACGCCGUAAACGAUGUCUACUAGCCGUUGGGAAGCUUAGACUUUUUAGUGGCGCAGCUAACGCGAUAAGUAGACCGCCUGGGGAGUACGGUCGCAAGAUUAAAACUCAAAUGAAUUGACGGGGGCCCGCACAAGCGGUGGAGCAUGUGGUUUAAUUCGAUGCGACGCGAAGAACCUUACCAGGCCUUGACAUCCUGAGAACUUUCUAGAGAUAGAUCGGUGCCUUCGGGAACUCAGUGACAGGUGCUGCAUGGCUGUCGUCAGCUCGUGUCGUGAGAUGUUGGGUUAAGUCCCGUAACGAGCGCAACCCUUAUCCUUAUUUGCCAGCACGUAAUGGUGGGAACUUUAAGGAGACUGCCGGUGACAAACCGGAGGAAGGAGAGGAUGAUGUCAAGUCAUCAUGGCCCUUACGGCCUGGGCUACACACGUGCUACAAUGGAGCGUACAGAGGGCUGCAAACCCGCGAGGGGGAGCUAAUCCCAGAAAACGUUUCGUAGUCCGGAUUGG